rnacentral:rRNA from 1 species
UGGGGAAUUUUGGACAAUGGGGGCAACCCUGAUCCAGCAAUGCCGCGUGAGUGAAGAAGGCCUUCGGGUUGUAAAGCUCUUUUGUCAGGGAAGAAACGGUGAUUUCUAAUACAGAUUGCUAAUGACGGUACCUGAAGAAUAAGCACCGGCUAACUACGUGCCAGCAGCCGCGGUAAUACGUAGGGUGCAAGCGUUAAUCGGAAUUACUGGGCGUAAAGCGUGCGCAGGCGGUUAUGUAAGUCAGAUGUGAAAUCCCCGGGCUCAACCUGGGAAUGGCAUUUGAGACUGCAUGGCUAGAGUGUGUCAGAGGGGGGUAGAAUUCCACGUGUAGCAGUGAAAUGCGUAGAUAUGUGGAGGAAUACCGAUGGCGAAGGCAGCCCCCUGGGAUAACACUGACGCUCAGGCACGAAAGCGUGGGGAGCAAACAG